CGGUCAUGUUGACACCCGCAGUGACAUCAUAGGCCACGCCCAUCCCGUCACUCAAUGAUGUAAUUUGCCAUGCCUGCCUUGCUGCUGAUGUCACUGGCCACGCCCACCUCGUUGAUGACGUCACUGGCCACAUCAGUUUUGCCAUUGGUCACCCUGGGCCUGCCGAUGACGACGCUGACAUCACUGGCCACGCCCAUCUCACUGAUGAUGCCAUCGGUCAUGCUGAAGAUGUCAUUGGCUACAGCCAUCUUGUUGAUGAUGUCAUAAUGUCAGCACCAUCCGAGCUCUCAUUGGCCAUGCUGACGACGUCAGUGGUCACAUGGUGUGAUGACAUCACCAUCUGACUAUUGAUGAUGUCAUUUGAGUGUCAUUGGUUGGGAUGGGAGGGGCCUUGUCCAGUGGGCGUGUCCGAGGUGGGUGUGCCCAAUGGGCAUGUCACAGGUGGGUGUGGCCAAUGGGCGUGUCCAUGGUGGGCGUGUCCCAGGUGGGCGUGUCUAGCAGACAGAGCCAGUUGCUGUCCAGUGGGCGUGUCCAGUGGGCAUAUCUCAGGUGCAUGUGCCCCAGGUGGGUGUGGCCAAGUGGGCGUGUGUCCAGUAGAUGUGUCCAAUGGGUGUGUCCCGGGUGGGCGUGGCCAAUGGGUGUGACCAACAGGCAUGUUCCAGGUGGGUGUGUCCACUGGGCGUGUCAGUGGGCGUGUCCAAAGUGGGUGUGGCCAAUGUGUGUGUUCCGGGUGGGCGCAGCAGUGGGUGUGGCAGUGGGCGUGGCCAGGGCCAUAUUCCAGGUGGGUAUGUCCAGUGGGCGUGUCCCAAGUGGGUGCAUCCAGCAGGAGUGUCCAAUGGGCGUGUCCAAUGGACGUGUCCCAGAUGGGCGUGGUCGGUGGGCGUGUCCCGGUGGGCGUGGUCACUCCCGUGUCCGCAGCCGCAGGUACCCGCCCCCGCUGGCCAGAGCCAAGGCCCCGCCCACCCCGGCCAGCGCUGGGCAGUGCCCGGGACGGCCCCCAAUGCUGGCCCCGCCCCCUGAGGCCACAAAGAGCCCCGCCCCCAGCAGUGACGUCACACCUGUGGGGGACACCGGAGGGGACAUCAGAGUGACAAUGGGGAUGACACUGGGGGGACACUGAGGGGACACGGGGGGAU
rnacentral:lncRNA from 1 species